AGGCUGAGCAAAGGCUUCUUCACACAUGGUUUUAAUUUUGAGAAUUAUAAAUUCGUGAUUUACAAUUUUUACAAUACAAUAUUUACGAUAUUUACAAUAUUGAUUCAUGAGAUCUUGUAUGCUUAGGGACAGACCAUUAGUAAGGGUUAGAUAAGACAUGACGGAAAAACAUGACGUGACGCUUCAAAUAAGCCCAUUUCACAUCGAAUAAGGCGGAGAAUUUUUCUGAGUACUUAGUAACUUAUAGCAAGCAAAACAUCAAGUGCGACUUUUUUUAAAUUGAUGCGACUUUUUGUAAAGUGUCAUUGAAAUUUCAGCUUUUUCGUCCCUGAACUGAUACACAGGGCAAUGAUGAUCAAGGAAAUCUUGGAUCUUAAAAAGGAUCUUAAAAGGAUCUUAAAAAGCCAAAAUCUGGUUAUGUGCACUUCGGCCUCACGUUAUUUGUGUUUUGAAAAUCAGUCCGCAAUACAAGGAACCUAUAGCCAUUGUAAGAAAUUGUGUCUUCUCUCUCUAUCUGGAAUUGCGCGUUUUCCAGGUUUUUCCGCCAUGUCGUUAGAUAAUGGAAGCGAGUGUUCUAUGGAAUGUAGGGCACGAAUUAACAAAAAUUCGAGUAAGCUCUUUUAAAGAACUGAAAUAACCACUUGAAAAACAAUGGAUCAUCAAUGACAGCUGUUCCGCAGCUAUUGUUUUGUAAACGCUAUAACCGCCCGCCGAUUUUUCAUCAAACGAUGACAUCGGAAGGCACCUUAGACGAGAUGAGCGAGCCCUCUCUCAGAAAAAGCCAGAUUUAGCCAAAGUGCACUUUGAAUUCUACGAGUUACAGUGGCGAUUCUCGGCAGCCUCAAAUCUUCCUGUUUGAUUUUAAGAAAUCUAUUAAAACAGGAGUGAGCUGAACUGCAGAUAUGUCCUUAAUAACUCUAAGAAACUUAACAUGCACAAAGAAAGCGCUUAUGUCAGGUCGAGCAACGCUCCUAUAGAAGUGAAACAUUAAAGAACGACAAAUUCCACCACAAAGACAUAUAAUAUGUUACCUAAGAUUUUUGUCACCUCAUAAACCACGUCUAGCGUAUAUCGUCCUCCAUAGAUCCAUUACUGCGGCAUAUAACGCUCAAGCAAAAGUGUAAUCUCAAAGACACUACGCACUUUAUUUACUUCAUCAGAAGUCUAUAAAAGGGCGAAAGAUUCAUUGAUUAAAAUAUUCUUGAUGUCCAUAGCUUACUGAAACAUUUCAGUACACGCAUUCUCUCCUCUUGCCGCCCUCUUAGUUAUAAGAAGGGUUUGUGUCUAGGGAGACGGCCAACGCCCGUUGAGAACAAAUUCCUCAUUUGCCACCUUCUAAGCCGAAAUCCGCAACUUAUUCUAGAUACGGUUACGCGAUUUCACAACAUACAUAACGGCGAGUGUUGAAUUCACGGACAGGCAAAAUGCGUUUUGAAACAAACAUGGCAUCUAAUAAACGAAUCUAAACAUUUUGUCAUGAGGUUCCACCCGGCUAAACGAAUCUUCUAAAGAUUCUUAUAAAAAAACUGGCAACUUAUCACGGAUGUCAGCCUUAUACGGCUAGAAUAUUUAAUGAGCCUAUAGUCUCUUAUAGAAAGGAGAAACCGCUUAUAGACUUUUAAGUCAGAGCCACAAUCUCCCAUAAAGGACAAGGUAUCAAAGCAGAUUUAUUUACAAUUGUGGCGGGUGUGGCUGUUGGCAAUAUUACACAACAUAAUUAGAAAGGAAAUUCGAGUAAGCUCUCUUUAAAAAACUGAAAUAACCACUUGAAAAACAAUGGAUCGUCAAUGACAGCUGUUCCGCAUGGAAAAUUGACCCCACCACUAAAUAUCUAAUAGUCCGUCCCUUGGAUUCAAGGAGAUUCGAUGAUACAGUUUCCCGUAUUCAACCAUUCUGUCAAUCACAACUCGUACCUUCUGCUACAGGGAUCGGAUCAUCAAACUAUUUGGCCAUGCCAUGUAGCUAGGGAUGAACUUUAUAAAAA